GACCAACUGGGGUGACAUAUGGAACCCUAUCACACACCAAUUUCUUUUUUUAAAAUUUUAAUGGGCUGGAAAUGUAGCUCAGUGCUAGGAGUACUUGCCUACAGUGCAAGAGAUCUUGGUUUCAAUCCCCAGGAUGGGCCGAGCGUGGUGGUACACGCCUGUAAUCCCAGCACUCGGGAGGCUGAGGCAGGAGGAUUGUUGGGAGUUUGAGACCAGCCUAUGCUACAUAAGUGAGCUCAAGGCCAGUCUGAACUACAUAGUGAAACCCUGUCUCAAAAGAAAAAAAAAUCCCCAGGAUGGGUAGGGGUUGAUUAUUCGACCCAGUCAUUGCUUCUGAACUUAUUUAAUGAUGGUGCUGAUACCUCUUGUCUAGGGACGACAUUUUGAAAACCAGCACUCUAAAAGAAAAACUGUACCCUAAAGACUGCUGUUACUGAUGUUUCCUGGAAUUACUCCUGGAGAACUCAAAGAUGGUGAUGAUCAUUCAUGUGCUUCAAAGGGCAGAUACGGGCAUGUUCCCUCCUAUUUUCAUCUUCCUUUCUGCCCCCACCACCUCCUCCCAUUCCAAUCAGUCCAUUUUAUUUCUAAAUAUUUUUCAAAUCUGAAUUCUUUUUUUACUAUGAUCACUGUUAUUAUCACUGUGCUCUUUGAGUUUUUCAUCAUUCUCAAAUAGCCAGUGUUCCCAGCCACCUCAUUGGGCUCCCUGCCAGCCGACCUGACCCCUUGAAUCCAUCUGCUUCCCAGCUGCUGGAAGGGUUCUCCAAAACAAGGCCUGAAAAUAGUUUGGAAUUCCACUGUAGGAUGAGGUUUCAUACCUCUAUUGUAGCAUCUGACACUCUUUUCCAGCUCCACAUAUGUCACUCUUUCAUUAAUGGAAAGUCAAAGUUACAUAGUUCUCUCAUGUAAGUGACUUAUCUCAUGUUGUCAAUGGGCCUAGAAGGCCCAGGUCCCUCCCUCAUAUUCCUACCAUGGCCACCCAAACCACAAUGACCAGCUGCUUACUAGAAUUAUAUAAGAUUUAUUUCAUGCAGUGACUCUCAGUGUUGCCUAAAGCCUGAAAUAGAUUUAGGUGCUCUUUUUCUAGGUUCCUAAGCCUCUCAGACAUUUGGAUUUUGUUCUUGUGGAUAAUGUUUUUUUUGUUAAAAUGGCUUUGAAACAAAUCUACCUUGUUGAUACUUCUCUAUAAUAUUAGAAUGAACUAUUAAACUACAAUAUUUGGGAUUUAGGUGAGAUUUCAGUGUUUAAAAUGCAAUGUUAUUAACAUUUAAAUAAAGUCUUUUUAUAUAUGUAAGUAAGAGUCCAAAAUAUAUAAAGAAUUUACAGUUUAAUGGUAUUUAAUGAAAAGUAAUGUACUAGUAGUGUGAUACACAGGUAUUAAUGAGUGAUUUUAACAUAUUUUUACAAGAAUUGAGAAAUAAUGCUCAGAUUCAGCAAGCUAUAAUGAUAACAAAACAGAAGUUAGUUUGUGGCCCUGUUUCUUUUUCCACCCCUAUUUCCCCAUCAACAAAUCCAGAGAGUGUGAGGCAAAACUCCUCGGUUCAGGGACCACUUAGCUAUAUCGCAAGCCAAUAAAAGCCAUUCUCCUACUGCCUCGUGUCUUCCUGUUGCUCCUUUCACUGCAUUAUUAACUGUGCAGUAGGCUUAGCUUCAAACUAAGGAGAAUAAACCACGAUUUAUACUGAUUUAUGUCUCUUCCAUGCACCGACUUUAUUGUCUCUGGAUACCUACCUAAAAGCUGCAUUGCUGGGUCCUAUGUUAGUUUUAUUUUAUUUUUUUUUUUGUUUUGUUUUUUUUUGGUUUUUCUCCGGUACCAGGAACCGAACUCACGACCUUGCACUUGCCAGGCAGGCGCUUUGCCGCUGAGCUAAAUCCCCAGCCCCAGUUUUAUUUUUAAUUUUGGUUAUUUAAAGAACUUCUGUAUUUUUUCUGUAAUGGCUCUGAUAGCUUACAUUUCCCCCAGUGAUGCACAAGAGCUCCCUUUUCUUCACAUCCUUAGCAGCAUUUGAUAUUUCAUUAUGGUUUUGAUUUGCAUUUCCUUGAGGAUUAGUGAUAUUGAGCAUUUUUAUAUUUAUCUAUUGACUGUGUAUUCUUCUUUGACCAAUGUCCCCUGAGGUCUGUCA
ensembl:lincRNA